UGUGAGGAUGGCACCAAGACCAUGUCUACACGUGAAAGGAAGGUAUUUAAUGAAAUUCGCAGGCAACCUUCAUAACUUCCAAUGCCAAUGCUCUGACUACCCGCACCUAUGUCUGUUGUAGAUAUAUUUCUCCUUAAUAAUCACAAGAAGAUGAAUGCUUAUAAAAGUCCAAUGGUACUCAGGGUCGUUCUGAUGUUGCUUCUAUUGUUGAUGUAUGUUCUAUAAUAGGGAUAAGCAUUUGGUCCCGGGUACUGGUACCGAACUGAACCGGUAUAUUCG
rnacentral:lncRNA from 1 species